UACGUAGGUGGCAAGCGUUAUCCGGAUUUACUGGGUGUAAAGGGCGUGUAGGCGGGACUGCAAGUCAGAUGUGAAAACCACGGGCUCAACCUGUGGCCUGCAUUUGAAACUGUAGUUCUUGAGUACUGGAGAGGCAGACGGAAUUCCUAGUGUAGCGGUGAAAUGCGUAGAUAUUAGGAGGAACACCAGUGGCGAAGGCGGUCUGCUGGACGGUGACUGACGCUGAGGCUCGAAAGCGUGGGGAGCAAACAGG
rnacentral:rRNA from 1 species